AAUAUUGGACACUGGGCGACAGCCUGAUCCAGCCAUGCCGCGUGUGUGAAGAAGGUCUUCGGCUUGUAAAGCACUUUAUGUUGGGAGGAAGGGUUGUAGGUUAAUACCCUGCAUUUUUGACGUUACCACCAGAAUAAGCACCCGCUAACUUCGUGCCAGCAGCCGCGGUAAUACGAAGUGUGCAAGCGUUACUCGGAAUUACUUGGCGUAAAGGUGGCGUAAGUGGUGCGUUAAAUUGGAAGUGAAAGCCCAGGGCUUAAACUGGGAAUUGCUUUAAAAACUGACGAGCUAGAGUACGGUAGAGGGUAGUGGAAUUUCCUGUGUAGCGGUGAAAUGCGUAGAUAUAGGAAGGAACAUCAGUGGCGAAGGCGACCACCUGGGCUAAUACUGACACUGAGGUGCGAAAGCGUGGGGAGCAAACAGG
rnacentral:rRNA from 1 species